CUAGUGAGCAGUAAAAAUUGUUUACUGGGUCCCAACGGCACACUGGUCUCCAGCAUCAAAGGGUGAUUCAGCCAUCCUAACUCCAGUUCCCCAAAUGAUGGAGAGGGUACCCCCACUCCUGAAGAAGGUACUUAGGAGGCUGCCUUAAGAAUGACAUAAGAAAUCAAGGUCGAUGCGUUUUAGGUUUAGGUCAGUCCGUGCAAUGACGAGAAUUUCCAUGAGCAGUUUAAGUUAUCAGAGUCACCAUAAUGUCCCCUUGGAUGCAUUUGUCCCCAGGAUCCGGAAUUUGCCCGCGGGUGGCUGGAUGGCCGAAAUGUGCUUCCAUGCUGCGUGCUAGAGCAUUGAGACGUGGUGCUUCCCUGGAUCUGAGGUACCCAGGCACGAGACAGAUGAUUCUAUGGCUCGUAAUCCAGGUGACAACUGGGCAGAAGAUACCAGCUUGGGUCCUAAGGAUGUGAAGCAGGUCUCCUUCCCCCAGGAUUCUUAGCCGAUUUUAUAAACAUGUUACACAUGUCCAUUUAAAAGCACCAGGAUUUCACAACUAAAUUCUUAAAAGCCCACACUGGUACCUGGGCAUUCACAGGAAGCUCAGCCUAGCUGCCUUCAUGCCAAGCCGACUGCUCGAUAGCCGUAUGUCUGUAAUGUGCUAUUUGCCUCACUUUGCAUGUCAUUUUGGACAAAAGUGUCCACUAAAUAUAAAUAAAUGUAAAUGUAAAAUCUUCUGCGUUAAACAACAAAGACCUUUAAAAAUCUAAAAAAAAUAAACUUCAUUUAAACUUGUAUUAUACUGUAUAGGUUUGUAUACUUAUUAAUAUAAGCAUUAUUGGUAACUGCACCUUCAUAAUGCCUUUAUAAAGCAUUCGUAGAACAUUCAUAAGCAGCAUAUAAGUACACCCUAACAUCCUUACAGCUGUAGUAUACAUUAACAAACAUUAAAUGAUAAUA